rnacentral:rRNA from 1 species
UACGUAGGUGGCGAGCGUUAUCCGGAAUUACUGGGUGUAAAGGGUGUGUAGGCGGGAAUGCAAGUCAGACGUGAAAUCUACGGGCUCAACCUGUAAAUUGCGUUUGAAACUGUAUUUCUUGAGUAUGGGAGAGGUAAACGGAAUUCCUGGUGUAGUAGUGAAAUGCGUAGAUAUCAGGAGGAACACCGGUGGCGAAGGCGGUUUACUGGACCAUAACUGACGCUGAGACACGAAAGCGUGGGGAGCAAACAGG